UACGUAGGGUGCGAGCGUUAAUCGGAAUUACUGGGCGUAAAGCGUGCGCAGGCGGUUCGUUAAGUCAGAUGUGAAAGCCCCGGGCUCAACCUGGGAACUGCAUUUGAAACUGGCGGGCUUGAGUAUGGCAGAGGGGGGUGGAAUUCCGCGUGUAGCAGUGAAAUGCGUAGAGAUCGGGAAGAACAUCAGUGGCGAAGGCGGCCUGCUGGGCUGUUGCUGACGCUGAGGCGCGACAGCGUGGGGAGCAAACAGG
rnacentral:rRNA from 1 species